UGAUUGCAUAUGGUUUACAAGGCAAUACACCAGUGGAGCUACAAAUAUGAUAGAAAUAUAAGGCAAGAGAUGGCCGUUAAGGCAUGCCUGUCAAAUGGGUUCUUUAUCCUUACUCCCAAGACACAACUCGCUCCAUUUUGACUUGUGGGUCAGUUCACAAGUGGUGUUCUAAUUACUGCUGGCAUGUCGCCUUCGUGUAUCAUCUUUUAUUUGAUAGCCGAGUUCCUCCUGCAGGCAAGUAUGACAUCCAUAUGUGGUUUAUAUAUGUUUAAUGUGCUUUUGAAUCCUAGUUUCAGAACAAUUCAGUACCAACUAUCUGUGGACCUGCAGAGAUAAGUGCAGAUUAGUAGUGCUCCAGUCUCCUGUGCUUUCAUAGGAACAGUCUGGUGUUUUGUGUUACUUUGUAUUGCAUCCAGCAAGUUAUAACCUACUUUUAGGGAGAUAGAUCGUUGUCGGUGUGCACCAUUGGUAUUUUGUCAUCAUUUUGUUGCAGAGUCCUGUGUGAAGCCCAUUAUUAUAAAAAAGAAGCAAGAUAGAUCUGGAUGAUGCAUCAUGAAUUAGUGUGGCCAUGUAAUUAUUAUAAAAGUAUUUCCGAUAAAUUGCCAUGAUCAUUAAACUUGUUCACAGAACUUGUUGCUGUGGUCCCUAGCUGAUUUGUUCUUUAAUUUAGAGUUGGUCUUUUUU
rnacentral:lncRNA from 1 species